rnacentral:rRNA from 1 species
AACGAACGCUGGCGGCAUGCCUAACACAUGCAAGUCGAACGAGACCUUCGUUUCUAGUUGCGCCAGUGUGCGUAACACGUGGGACUCUGCCCUUUGCCUCGGAAUAACACUUAGAAAUGACUGCUAAUACCGGAUUAUGUCGCAAGAUCAAAGAUUUAUCGGCAAAGGAUGAGCCCGCGUAGUAUUAGGUAGUUGGAGGGGUAAAGGCCUACCAAGCCGACGAUCCUUAGCUGGUCUGAGAGGAUGAUCAGCCACACUGGGACUGAGACACGGCCCAGACUCCUACGGGAGGCAGCAGUGGGGAAUAUUGGACAAUGGGCGAAAGCCUGAGCCAGCAAGGCCGCGUGAGUGAUGAAGGCCUUAGGGUUGUAAAGCUCUUUUACCAGGGAUGAUAAUGACAGUACCUGGAGAAUAAGCUCCGGCUAACUCCGUG